GGCUGGAGCAGCCUUAGGGGCCAGGUCAGGGUGGCCCUGGGGCCUCUGCCUCCAGCUGUGUCUAGUGCACAGGGAUCUGGGCAUGAGGUCCCUUCUCCCAGGAGGGGAGGCGCGGAACUAGGUGCCUCCACCCAGAAAGGUCAGAUCUGGGAGAGUUACAGAGUCAUUUCCCAAUCCCGGAUGAGCCCCUGCAGCCUCAGUGCUACUCAGGUUCCAGCAAGACCUGGAGCAGGUGCAGG
rnacentral:lncRNA from 1 species